GACGAACGCUGGCGGCGUGCCUAAUACAUGCAAGUAGAACGCUGAAGAGAGGAGCUUGCUCUUCUGGGUGAGUUGCGAACGGGUGAGUAACGCGUAGGUAACCUGCCUGGUAGCGGGGGAUAACUAUUGGAAACGAUAGCUAAUACCGCAUAAAAUUGAUUAUUGCAUGAUAAUUAAUUGAAAGAUGCAAUUGCAUCACUACCAGAUGGACCUGCGUUGUAUUAGCUAGUUGGUGAGGUAACGGCUCACCAAGGCGACGAUACAUAGCCGACCUGAGAGGGUGAUCGGCCACACUGGGACUGAGACACGGCCCAGACUCCUACGGGAGGCAGCAGUAGGGAAUCUUCGGCAAUGGGGGGAACCCUGACCGAGCAACGCCGCGUGAGUGAAGAAGGUUUUCGGAUCGUAAAGCUCUGUUGUAAGAGAAGAACGGGUGUGAGAGUGGAAAGUUCACACUGUGACGGUAUCUUACCAGAAAGGGACGGCUAACUACGUGCCAGCAGCCGCGGUAAUACGUAGGUCCCGAGCGUUGUCCGGAUUUAUUGGGCGUAAAGCGAGCGCAGGCGGUUAGAUAAGUCUGAAGUUAAAGGCUGUGGCUUAACCAUAGUAUGCUUUGGAAACUGUUUAACUUGAGUGCAGAAGGGGAGAGUGGAAUUCCAUGUGUAGCGGUGAAAUGCGUAGAUAUAUGGAGGAACACCGGUGGCGAAAGCGGCUCUCUGGUCUGUAACUGACGCUGAGGCUCGAAAGCGUGGGGAGCAAACAGG
rnacentral:rRNA from 1 species